GUGUCAGUCAUAUUCUUUACCGCAUACACCAAAUAUGCACGUUAUCCUAAAUAUUGAUACAGAUUCAUGUUUCAGGUUUUAAACACAAACCCCGCUCUUGAUGAGAAUUUCCAAUCGAGUACCUUUAUUCAUGCAAUCUCCCAAAUCUAUCCGCAUGCACCGAAGUAUCAAAAAAGUCAAACCCUUCGCAUUAACGAAUAGAAGUAGUUUAUUCCGGACUACAUCAGAGCCCAAGAAUAUCGGUAGAAAAUCAAACUUUCGAACACUGUAGCAGCGUUCGCGUACGACCGUACAACGGUUCACUUCAAACUUUCCGGUUACAGCUUUAUUAUCUUUAUAAAAAACAGCAGCUGAUGUGCAACUUUUUUAAAGCCAUCGGAAUGAUGUGUGUAUGUACGAUGUUACUCUCGUUUAUUUAUUUAAAAAUCACCAACUGGCACAUUUGCUGCACAUGUAUUACGUUCAUAGCGUAUACAUGAAUACCGGAGGUAUUCAAAGACUUGCCGAUGUACAAGAGUUUCAGAAGUUUCAUUUUCGUUCGAUAACUCUUAGUAAAAAUAACUCGGUGAAUAUCUUUUCACCAAAGAUCGGCGGCCGAGGCGGUAGGCGCGUAGUGUUCGAGAAAAAUGUAUCAGGUGGAAAACAAAUCGUUGGGCCUUGGAGUCAAAGGUCAAGGCCGAUUCGAACAUCGAAAUCUGUUCGCAUCGAUGUUUGAUUACAUGGAAAAUGCAAUCAACGGGCGUUAAGUUAACUUUACCGUAUUCUCGAUCGAUGAGAUCGAUGAUCCAAAACUGAAAUAGUCGAUCGGUUGCUCUCUUCUAACAUUCGACUAAUUUCCAGAUCGAAAUUACACCAGCCACCCUUCUCUUUCAGAGCUGACAGAAACUUUCAUCGAAACAUAAUGAUUACGAACUGACCAAAAACGCGACGCUUGGGUUACCGACUCGUUCAUUCGUUGAUGGAUAUGGACUGCUGAAACUGAAUUCACUUUCAAUAAAAAUAUUGCUUUGUAAAAUAACACAGUGAUUGACGUACUUCCAUGCCUACGUAUCUUGACGCUGACGACGUGCGAACUAUGGGAAGAGGAAUAAAUACGGUCGUUCUUUGCCAACUUCGGAUUUCGAUCCUUCGAUCGCUAUUAAAUCUGCGAUCGUAGUGUUGGUGCACACCUGGAUUACGUCUCGAUCACGUUUCUAAAAAUCGGAAAAUUCUCAAUACUCAACACUCAGAGAAAUCGAGAAGCUUUUUCGUGACAGCUUGGAAAAGCUGAGAAAUAUUCCUCGGCAUUGAAAUAUGUCCAUUAUUUUUUUCCGGCUGGUGUAGAUCACGCUGUUUAUUGGACAUAUUUUUUGAUCGCAAUUUUAUUCAUACCUAGAAUAUUUACACCUGCCAUUUGCUUGGAAACAACGAAUGUCCAGCGACUCGAUACAAAAGAAAUGAUGGCCGAUUGUUUCUCCGGUCGAAGUAAAUGCGGAAAAGAAGGCGAUUUUAUAUUCUGCGACUAAAAACUAUUUCCACCGUCAUUCGGAAAGGUUUAUUGCUACAUCGUUUUCGGAAAUUAUGAGUCGCAACCUCGGCACCUUCGAUCUAAGAAUUCCCUCAUCAGGCAGAUCAUCAUUCGCAACGAACUAUAAUGUUACCGCACACUGGAUUCGAUUGAAUUUUCGAAACCCUUCGAAAUUGUUCUCGAGGACUUUUCAAAACUCUGCAUUUUCUCCUCGUAUCAUUUUGUGAUUAGCUAGCUGUUAUUUGCUUCGCGUCGUUUUGCUGAACUGCAGCCCAACGUUCAUUCUUAUCACGAAAUCGGAUCAAUGCGUGAUUGAGAAAUCGUAAAAUAGUUUAACUUAAUGCAUCGAAUUUUCAUCUUUUCAACUAUUUUAGCGUCACGAACAUAAACGUUAUCUCGCAUGCACGGUGUUCGAAAAAUGUGCCAAGGUGUCCGCAACGUAACGAAUAUACGAACCAGAUUCAAUGUUAUUCAUCUCUGUAUACAUAUGUUGAUAUAUUUCGGAAAUUCGUUGCAACUGUUCGAGGUGAGGAUAAUUCACGAAGGGACUAGUAGGAGUCAUUGAAUUAAUCCAAUAAUUAGUUCUCAUUUAUUUGAUGUUCGUUUUUAUUUUUUGAUUGAUAUAUUCGGUAACAUUUCCCAUGAAUAAGUGUUUACUCUCAAUAAUGCAUCGUUUUUCGUUCGGAUGAUAGUUAUCUCGACAGUUGUAUUACGCGAGCCUCAACAUUCCUCAGUGAUAUUUGAACG